rnacentral:tRNA from 3 species
CAGGGGGUAUUUUAUUUAAAAUGUUAGUUUUGGGGAUUAGCGAAAUGGUAUUAUAAACCUUUCCUCUGA